rnacentral:rRNA from 1 species
AGAGUUUGAUCCUGGCUCAGAUUGAACGCUGGCGGCAGGCCUAACACAUGCAAGUCGAACGGUAACAGGAAGCAGCUUGCUGCUUCGCUGACGAGUGGUGGACGGGUGAGUAAUGUCUGGGAAGCUGCCUGAUGGAGGGGGAUAACUACUGGAAACGGUAGCUAAUACCGCAUAAUGUCGCAAGACCAAAGAGGGGGACCUUCGGGCCUCUUGCCAUCGGAUGUGCCCAGAUGGGAUUAGCUUGUUGGUGGGGUAACGGCUCACCAAGGCGACGAUCCCUAGCUGGUCUGAGAGGAUGACCAGCCACACUGGAACUGAGACACGGUCCAGACUCCUACGGGAGGCAGCAGUGGGGAAUAUUGCACAAUGGGCGCAAGCCUGAUGCAGCCAUGCCGCGUGUAUGAAGAAGGCCUUCGGGUUGUAAAGUACUUUCAGCGGGGAGGAAGGGAGUAAAGUUAAUACCUUUGCUCAUUGACGUUACCCGCAGAAGAAGCACCGGCUAACUCCGUGCCAGCAGCCGCGGUAAUACGGAGGGUGCAAGCGUUAAUCGGAAUUACUGGGCGUAAAGCGCACGCAGGCGGUUUGUUAAGUCAGAUGUGAAAUCCCCGGGCUCAACCUGGGAACUGCAUCUGAUACUGGCAAGCUUGAGUCUCGUAGAGGGGGGUAGAAUUCCAGGUGUAGCGGUGAAAUGCGUAGA